rnacentral:lncRNA from 1 species
AUGGAGCAACUCAUCCUGGACACCAUUUCCAAGCAUAUGAAGGACAAGAAGGUGAUCAGGAGUAGUCAGCAUGGCUUCACCAAGGGGAAAUCAGACUUAACCAACCUAAUAGCAUUCUGUGAUGGGAUGACUGGCUGGGUAGGUGAGGGCAGAGCAGUGGAUGUUGUCUACCUUGACUUCAGCAAGACUUUUGACACCAUCUCCCAUCACAUCCACAUAGACAAGCUCAGGAAGUGCAGGCUAGAUGAGCAGACAGUGAGGUGGAUUGAGAACUGGAUGAAUGGCAGAGCUCAGAGGGUUGUGAUCAGCAACAUGAAGUCUGGUAGGAGGCCUGUAGCUAGCGGUGUCCCACAGGGGUGUAUACUGGGUCCAAUCCUGUUAAACUUCUUCAUUAAUCAUCUGGAUGAUAAGGCAGAGUGCACCCUCAGCACAUUUGCUGGUGAUACAAAACUGGGAGGAGUGGCUGAUACGCCAGAGGGCUGUGCUGCCAUUCAGAGAGACCUGGACAGGCUGGAAAGAUGGGUGGAGAGGAACCUCCUGAAGUUCAACAAAGGGAAAUACAAAAUCCUGCACCUGGGGAGCAAUAACCCCAUGCACCAGGACAGGCUGGAGGCUGACCUGCUGGAAAGCAGCUCUGCAGAGAAGGACCUGGGGGUCCUGGUGAGCAACACGUUGACCAUGAGGCAGCAAUGUGCCCUUGUGGCCGAAAAGGCCAAUGGUAUCCUGGGCUACAUCAGGAAGAGCAUUGCCAGCAGGUCAAGGGAGGUGAUCCUCCCCCUCUCCUCAGCCCCGGUGAGGUCACAUCUGGAGURCUGUGUCCAGUUCUGGGCUCCCCAGUACAAGAGAGAUGUGCAGUUACUGGAGCAAGUCCAGCGAAGGGCUACAAAGAUGAUUAGGGGACUGGAGCAUCUCUCUUAUGAGGAAAGGCUGAGAGAGCUGGGCCUGUUUAGCCUAGAGAAGAGAAGGCUGAGAGGAGAUCUUAUCAACGUGUACAAGUAUCUGAAGGGAGGGUGUCAAGAGGAUGGGACCAGACUCUUUUCGGUGGUGCCCAGUGACAGGAUGAGAGGCACUGGGCACAAACUGAAACACAGGAAGCUCCAUCUGAACAUAAGGAAAAACUGCUUUACUGAGAGGGUGACUGAGCCCUGGACCAGGUUGCUUGGAGGGGUGGUGGAGCCUCCUUCCUUGGAGAUAUUCAAAAGCUGUCUGGACCGGGUGCUGGGCACCGUGACCCUGCUUGAGCAGGGGUGUUGGACUAGACAUGGUCUGCAGAGGUCCCUUCCAGCCUCAGCCAUUCUGUGUGAUUCUGUGAAUGAGAACUAUAACAUUUUCACAACAUUGUUUUUACAGCAUAAGUUCUCACAAACUGCCAUCAUGUUUGAAUAUAAAUGA